GCCAACUAUAAUAUCCCAGAGUCACCCAGGCAGCCAUAUGGAGAGGCUCACCGGCCUUCAGAUGACUGCAGCCUGAGAGAAAAUCUUCACUGUAACUCCCAGGAGAGCCUCCAAACCAAAACUAUUCAUGAGCUGAAUGUUUCUGUCUUCUCCAAAUCCACAUGUUGGAGCCCUGAUCCCCAGUGUGAUGGUGUUGGAGGCCCAAUUAGAUGAUUCUACCUCAACUAUUUUAAUGGAAGAAAAAGAGAAGAUAGGAUUUGCUUGGAUCCUCUCCAUGACCAACUUUUCUGGAGCGCAAAAGGAACAAUGGACCCUCUCCUUCCCAUUCCAUGUGGCCCUGGGGAUAACUGACAAGUCAAGCUGACCAGCCUCUUGUUCCUGGAGCAGAGUCUCAAAGCAGAAGAAGGCUGCACUGUCAUUUUGGUGACCAUUGUUGGGAGAAACCAUUAGCUCCUGCUAUAGGAUCCUGGGAGCUGCCCAGAUUCCUGUGCCUCCUGGGGUCUGAGUGUUCAACAAGUCUUUGAAUUCUAA